GCAUCGCUUCCCAUGUGAGGCGCCGCCGGUGACCGUUCAAUUCCAAUCUAAAAGAGAAAUUAAUGAUUCAGAGAGGAUGAUUCACUGACCACUCUCGAUGUUUUUAUGGCAAUGAAGAUAAAAUUUUACCCUCCUCACCUAACGAGCAUAAAGUGGUGCCCGAAACACGACUGCAUCAUUACCCAGUCUACAGCUCCUGAGAGAUUGAUGUCCGUGGCCAAAAAUACAAUAUCCUCUCCUGGGGUUUGAAAUGUGAAACAAGUUGAGGCUCCUGGACAGGGACAACUGUAAGGUCGAAACUCACAGGCAUCCUCGUGAUCUGCUUUUUCUGUGUGAACCAGAGAUACGGUGCAGCCACUGGUCGAAUACUUGCAAGGAAACAUUACAUUGCUGGCCACUUUUUCCA